rnacentral:lncRNA from 1 species
UGUUAAAUAGGCAGAGCUAAGACUUAGGGGACUGGCAGAUUAUUGCAAAAAGGGCACGGGGCAGAGGGACUAUGUUGUGAGCCUGCGAAAGAAGUUUGUGUGGGGACUGUGGGCAGUGAAUGCGUUGGGAACAAUAUGGAAAACUGGGAGCUGCCUUGGAAUCUACAGGGCCGGACUUCAAUCCAACAGGACCCACUCGAGCCAUCCACACUUUCCCCAGCCUCCUCCAAAACAGCACACUUUCCGGCUGAAGAAAAGAAGAAUGGUAUUCAUGCAGUUCCCAUUUUACAGAUGAAAACAAGAGGACUUUUUCUGUGAAGUCAAGAAAGUGGUUACAAUGGUACUUUCAGCCUGUCCGAAUUAUGUAUUGCCCCUCCCCUUUUUAUUAAUAACAUUGAAGUGUGAUGGGACAACCACUGAAGCCGUCUGUUGAAACCUGCUGGGACUUUUUAGCCAUUCUCUUCAACAUAAAGAAUGGGUGUUUUUGGAGGGGGUGAGAGGAAUGGGGAAAUGUUGUCAAAGAGUACAAUGUUUUAGUUGAGACAGGAGGAAUAUAUUUUGUUGAGAUCUACAGCACAGCAUGGUGACUGUAGUUAACAAUGAAGUAUUGUGUAUUUCAAAAUUGCUAAGACAAUAAAUUUCAAAUGUUCUCACCACAAAAAAGAUAGGUUUUGAGGUGAUGAAUCUAUUAAUUCUCUGGAUUUAAUUAUUCCACAAUGUAUACAUAUAUCAUAACAUCACAUCAUACCUCCGUAAAUACAUACAAUUUUAAUUUGUCAAUUAACAUUUUUUUAAAAGAAUAGUG